AUUAACCUACGGGAGGCAGCAGUAGGGAAUAUUGCUCAAUGGGGGAAACCCUGAAGCAGCAACGCCGCGUGGAGGAUGAAGGUUUUCGGAUUGUAAACUCCUUUUGUUAGAGAAGAUAAUGACGGUAUCUAACGAAUAAGCACCGGCUAACUCCGUGCCAGCAGCCGCGGUAAUACGGCGGGUGCAAGCGUUACUCGGAAUCACUGGGCGUAAAGAGGGCGUAGGCGGGAUAGCAAGUCAGAUGUGAAAUCCUAUGGCUUAUCCUUAGAACUGCAUUUGAAACUGUUAUUCUAGAGUAUGGGAGG
rnacentral:rRNA from 1 species